rnacentral:rRNA from 1 species
UACGUAGGGUCCGAGCGUUGUCCGGAAUUACUGGGCGUAAAGAGCUCGUAGGUGGUUUGUCGCGUUGUUCGUGAAAACUCACAGCUCGACUGUGGGCGUGCGGGCGAUACGGGCAGACUUGAGUACUGCAGGGGAGACUGGAAUUCCUGGUGUAGCGGUGGAAUGCGCAGAUAUCAGGAGGAACACCGGUGGCGAAGGCGGGUCUCUGGGCAGUAACUGACGCUGAGGAGCGAAAGCGUGGGGAGCGAACAGG